GUCUACGGCCAUGCCACCCUGAACGAGCCUGAUCCCGUCUGAUCUCGGAAGGUAAGCAGGGUCGGGCCUGGUUAGUACUUGGAUUGCAGACCACCUAGGAAGACCAGGUGCUGUAGGUG
rfam:Pteropus alecto contig167464, whole genome shotgun sequence.